rnacentral:sRNA from 1 species
CGGACAAGAUGGCGGCGGCAGCUGUACAGGGCGGGAGAAGCGGUGGUAGCGGAGGCUGUAGUGGGGCUGAUAAAAAGAACUUAAAAUGGGUAAAGUAAGAAAUGUUAAAAAGUCCCUGUUUUGUCCUGAAAUUUUAGUCUAUUCUGGAUAAACAGGAUUUUCUGACACAGAUAUGAGAAGUUGUAGCUCUGAUGUCUAGCUGUAGUCUCCUUGAUCUGCUGAUUGCAUUAUUUUAAUUUGCUUUUCUGGGAAAGCAGUUUUGCUAAAAGCUGUACAGACUUUUUCUUUUGUACCUAGCAGUACUUUAUAUAGUAUAGCUUUGGGCCAUGUAGCAUUUUAAGACUCAAUUUAAAAAAAUUAUUAAUCUGUUGCUGACUCUUAAUUCCUAUUUCAAUAUGUGUUUCCUUGAAGAAUUCAGGAUACAACUUCUUGUGUAUGACAGCUUUCCUUCACACACUAUUUUUGUGGGUGUGUAUAUAUCUGAUUUGGGAAGAAUUUAAAAAACACAUAGCUUUUUAAUUUGUUUGAAACAGACUUUCUGCCUGUUACAUUUUGUGCUUUUAACCAAUUAAAGAAGC